UUCUUUUUAUCAAAGUCACCUAUUUUUUUCUGGUCAAGUUUUGGAAGUACGAACCUGCCAUCAUAUAACCGUUCUGAGCGACGGAGCAACACGAAUUGCGGCCCCAUUUCGCUUCUGGAAUAAUCUAAAACCCUAAGCGUCGACCACCACAAAUGCGUCCCCCGGACCGUCUCCCGUGCGAGGUGAUAGUCGAUAUUCUCCUCCGAUUGCCUGCGAAGGUCCUCGCCCGAUAUCGAUCCGUGUCGAAAUUGUGGCGUUUCCUAAUCGACGAUCCAAAAUUCAUCGAACUCCACCUUAAGCACUCCGGCAAAAUCAGUUCCAAUCUCAGCCUCAUAAUUAAAAGCUGGUACCUGUACAUCGCUGACUUCGAUUCGCUGAGCGUCGCGACUGAGAUCAAACACCCGUUGAACGAAGUUAGGGGUGGAACGGAAGCUUUUGGAUCUUGCAAUGGCUUGAUCGGCGUUUGCAACUCCGAAAAGGACAUCGCCCUGUGGAAUCCAUCGACGGGGAUGUACCAGAAGUUGGCCGUCGCGGCGUAUGAGCUUCCCGGCGAUAUAGAGAUUUGCAGGUACACGUUUUACGGGUUUGGGCACGACCCCGUUAGCGAUGACUAUAAGGUAGUGAGAAUGAUACAGUUCGCUAGUGAAAAUGGUGAUUUAUUUUCAGCGCAAGUUAAGGUUUUCAGCUUAAAGAGUAAUAGUUGGAGGGAAAUCAAGGGGUUUCCUGAUUAUGUGCGUUAUAUGUUUCAACCUUAUUACUACUUAUUUUACAGAAGAGGGUACGGGACUUUUGCCGGCGGUGCUUUGCAUUGGGUGGCACCUGCUGUUCUUGAAUCGCCCAGUACCAACUUGAUUGUGGCGUUUGAUCUUAAGCUUGAGAGGUUUGGGUUAGUGCAACAGCCUGACCGUUCUAACGGCAUUUUUCAGUUGGAUGUGGGGGUUUUAGAUGGUUGUCUUUGUAUGUCAUGUAAUUACCAAAAUGAUUAUGUGGAUGUAUGGGUGAUGAAGGAAUAUGGGGUUAGGGACUCCUGGACUAACUUGUUUAAGAUUACUCAAACCGAUGUGAGAGGGUUUUCUGGUUUUGUGAUGCCUUUGGCUUAUGGUAAAAGUUGCGACAUGGUUCUCAUGGAAGUGGACGAUGGCAAGCUUGUUUGGUUUGAUAGGAAAAGGAGAAAAUCCAAAAAAGUUAGGAUCGAGGGGGCUCCGGGAACAUUUAGCGCUGAGGUUUAUGUGGGAAGUCUAAUUCCGCUCCCAGGCGGUGGAAUUGAUCGAAAGAAACAAGCAGCUGAGGAGAAAAACAAGAAUAAAAACGCCAGAAAGAAAAGGGAUGAUUUCCUGUCAGAAGGCUUUAAGUUGGUUUUAUAAGCUUGUAGAAGUCGGUGCAGAAUAGGAGCAAAGCCAAGGGAGACAUGGACUUCAACAGAUAUGAAUUUCUCAUGGGGGAAGCCAGAAAGCAAAGGGUGAGUAGGAGUAAGAAGAAGAGAAGGGAGAUCGAGGGGGAAUCUUCCCAAAGGGAUGCACCUGCUACAGGUAACUCUAGUAUCCAUCAAGAAGAGAUCAAUGCUGCUCCUCUUUCGAUCCCUCAGCCUCUUACUGAAGCGAUUUUUCACGAGCCGACCCGUUCUGCAUCUGCUCUCCGUCGGGCGGUGCACGCUGAGGACUUUGUGCAAGCCUAGUGUACUCUCCCUGACGCUCUCUCCGCGAAGAUCCGCCACACAUCAUACUAGCUGGCGACGAUGGCUUUAACGCAGGAGGAGAAGGUUGUUGAGAUGUAUCGGCAGACCCUCGAUGCCAGGGAGAAAUAUGUUGUUGCUCAGAACGAACUGCACGAGGCCGAGGUCCGUGAACGGGCUCUGCAAGUUGAGAUCGAGCGCCUUCGUAGGGAGGAAUUACCUGCCAGAGAAGCUGCUGCUGCUACUUCUGCUUCCCGAAUUGCAGUAAAGGAAUAUAAAGACUCCAACCAGUUCGUUAUUGAUACCUCCAAGGCUUACCGGGUGGGAUUCAGGAGGUGUCGGGACCAAGUCAGGACCAAACAUCCUGAGCUUCCUCUGGAUGGUGUGAGCUUUCAUGGUUAUGGCAACGAGAGUCUUGAGUCUGUGGAAGAUCUGGAGGAGGAUGAGGAAGGGGAGGAGGAGGAAGUUGGAGAGGGGAGUAAAGCCAACUAGUUUGUAGGAACCGAACUUGUAAUUUGAAUUUUGCAAACUUUAUUGAUGUAGUGCAACUCUAUUGUAAUGGAUACUUUUAUUAUAGCAUUGCAAGAAGCGGUUUUUAAGAAUAGUAUUUUUUUAA